GGUGGAGAAGACAUAAUCUUGACAUUCCAGAAGCUUACCUGGUAGAGGAGGUAACCCAGAACCAAAUAUCUACGGACACAGUAGAUGCCAGGAAUGCUGGAGCUCAGAAAGCAGAGUGAGGGAUGCCCUGUCCUUCUGUGAAAGGCCCACGACCCCCUGCAGUACCUGAGCCAGCAAACGAGGCUGCACACCCUGACGGCUAAGUUUUCACUAAACUAUGCUUUGCCAACACGAUCUGUGAACAAAGCUAUCGCUUUAUGCCACUGCAUCUCCGACAAGCAGAGAGAAGCCAUUUCUCAAAUUUGCGACCCAUGGACAGACGUAAGAUGUGGGAAGAUGAAGAUGAGGAAUGGAUUUCUCAAAAUAUUUAGGGAAUGUUGCCGCACUUUCACCACAUGGAUAACUGAGAGCCAUUUGUUAGGUGGGUGACCUUGUGAUGGAAAAUGAACGCACGUUUUGGCAGACAUAUAUGUCUAUGAGACUCCCAAAUUCAAUUAAAUACACAGAUACAAUAAAUUUAAAAAACCCAUAAUAA